GAUGAACGCUGGCGGCGUGCUUAACACAUGCAAGUCGAGCGAUGAAGUUUCCUUCGGGAAACGGAUUAGCGGCGGACGGGUGAGUAACACGUGGGUAACCUGCCUCAUAGAGUGGAAUAGCCUUCCGAAAGGAAGAUUAAUACCGCAUAACGUUGAAAGAUGGCAUCAUCAUUUAACCAAAGGAGCAAUCCGCUAUGAGAUGGACCCGCGGCGCAUUAGCUAGUUGGUGGGUAACGGCCUACCGAGGCGACGAUGCGUAGCCGACCUGAGAGGGUGAUCGGCCACAUUGGGACUGAGACACGGCCCAGACUCCUACGGGAGGCAGCAGUGGGGAAUAUUGCACAAUGGGGGAAACCCUGAUGCAGCAACGCCGCGUGAGUGAUGAAGGUUUUCGGAUCGUAAAGCUCUGUCUUUGGGGGAAGAUAAUGACGGUACCCAAGGGAGGAAGCCACGGCUAACUACGUGCCAGCAGCCGCGGUAAUAGGUGUGUGUA
rnacentral:rRNA from 1 species